GCGAGAAUAUUCGACAAUGGACGAAAGUCUGAUCGAGCGACACCGCGUGAGUGACGAAGGCCUUAGGGUUGUAAAACUCUUUCGUCGGGGACGAUAAUGACGGUACCCGAAGAAGAAGCUCCGGCUAACUUCGUGCCAGCAGCCGCGGUAAUACGAAGGGAGCUAGCGUUGUUCGGAUUUACUGGGCGUAAAGGGUGCGUAGGCGGCAUAUCAAGUCACUUGUGAAAUCUCCGGGCUUAACUCGGAACUGCCAAGUGAUACUGAUGUGCUAGAGUGCAGAAAGGGCAACUGGAAUUCUUGGUGUAGCGGUGAAAUGCGUAGAUAUCAAGAGGAACACCUGAGGCGAAGGCGGGUUGCUAGGCUGACACUGACGCUGAGGUACGAAAGCUAGGGGAGCGAACGGGAUUAGAUACCCACGUAGUCCCUGAGCGGGCUGGCAAGGCGCAU
rnacentral:rRNA from 1 species